CGUCUUGGAAACAAACAUAUAUAAUAUAUAUCAUUUAGCUGUCAGUGUUUGACAUGGAGCAUGUUUUGUACUACGUGUGCUCUUUUAUCAGCUGCAGAAGCUUCAGUGUUGCAGCUUUAUUCUCUUUAUAAUAAAGGAGGCUUACAGGUGUGGCGGUGGUCUGAUCCGGGUCUUGAUCCAGGGCCUUGAUCCUCCAGGCAGAGAGACUUCUUCUCUUUCCAUCUUUUCCCUCCACAUAUGCAAAGUAAUCACCCUGGUCCUCCGGCUUCACCCGCUGCAGGGUCAGAGUCAGGUCUCCGCGUCUCCUCCAAUCAGAGGGCAGAGAGAGUCUCUCCUCAGAGCCGGUCCCAUAUGUGAUGGUCCCGGAGGACAGGUCAAGCUCACACACUGUCUCCCCGUUUCUGACCAGCCUGAACUUCCCCUGCGCUCCUGAGGUGACGUAGAAGAAGGAGAAGCUGACAGCUCCACCUGCACUCACUGACACUUCACCACCACCAGCUCUGACUGACUGUUCAUGUUUGUGGCUGCUGGUCUAGCAGGCUUCGGUUUAUGUUGGUGGAUAAAAUCCUGCAGACCAAGUGGACCACAUGGUUCCUCUGGACCCGGUGCUGAAGGACCCUCCACAGACGUGGAGGUGAGUCUUGUAAAGGAGGAGAACCCUGCUGGUUCUGAAGAGGAUGUGGGCCCUGAACCAGCAGGGUUCUCCUCCUUUACAAGACUCAUCUCCACGUCUGUGGAGGGUCCUUCAGCACCGGGUCCAGAGGAACCAUGUGGUCCACUCGGUCUGCAGGAUUUUAUCCACCAACAUAAACCGAAGCCUGCUAGACCAGCAGCCACAAACAUGGACACCGCUACAGCGCUGACGGUCCCACUGCAGGUUCCCUUCUGUUCUCCAGCUGGUCGCUGCGUUUGCUGCACAGGAGAACAAACAGAGGAAUCAGAUCCAGACAGACAUGAUGUGAUGUGUCCAUAACAGCCUGAAUACUGAAGACACACAGCUCAACUACACAUGAUGUGUCAGAGUCAACACCACACUUUGUUUUCUCUGCUCUGCUUUCCCUCUUUGUGUUUUUCACAACCUGUCCUCCCUUUUUCCUUUUCAUCCCUCUGACAUCACAUUUAUAUAAGACACUUUAUAUCAAGUAGAUAUGAAACAACAUGUUGAGUGUUUAUCAUGGAAACAGUGACGUCAUGGAAACAAACAUAUAUAAUAUAUAUUAUUUAGCUGUCAGUGUUUGACAUGGAGCAUGUUUUGUACUACGUGUGCUCUUUUAUCAGUUUCAGAAGCUUCAGUGUUGCAGCUUUAUUCUCUUUAUAAUAAAGGAGGCUUACAGGUGUGGCGGUGGUCUGAUCCGGGUCUUGAUCCAGGACCUUGAUCCUCCAGGCAGAGAGACUUCUUCUCUUUCCAUCUUUUCCCUCCACAUAUGCAAAGUAAUCACCCUGGUCCUCUGGCUUCACCCGCUGCAGGGUCGGAGUCAGGUCUCCGUGUCUCCUCCAAUCAGAGGGCAGAGAGAGUCUCUCCUCAGAGCCGGUCCCAUCUGUGAUGGUCCCGGAGGACAGGUCCAGCUCACACACUGUCUCCCUGUUUCUGACCAGCCUGAACUUCCCCUGCGCUCCUGAGGUGACGUAGAAGAAGGAGAAGCUGACAGCUCCACCUGCACUCACUGACACUUCAGAGGCUCUGACAACGUCCAGCUGGGUCAGUGUCUCCUCACAGCUCAACUCGAACAGCCCGUUGUCGUUGAAGUUUAUGUUCUUCAAGACCACCGACGCGUUCAGGUCGAUCCUGUCCUCGUAGUGCUGACCCGGGAUCCAAACACCGUCCCAUCGAGCCACCAGAACAGUACGUGAAGAGUCCAGUGGGUGCCACAGCUUAGCUCCCUUUUUCUGGCAGCUUGCAGUUUUUGUAAACUCAAAAGUGUCUCCUAGAAUGACAAAGACACCUGAAAUAUUUGAGAUCAGGCUGAACAGAGAGAAGAGAAGGAGAGAAGCCAUUUCUGUCCUCUGUGGAAGUAGCAGCAGCUCUGAUCACUGACUGACUGACUGACUGA
ensembl:lncRNA